UACGAAGGGGGCUAGCGUUGUUCGGAAUUACUGGGCGUAAAGCGCGCGCAGGCGGUUUGUAAAGUUGAGAGUGAUAUCCCGAGGCUUAACCUCGGAAUUGCUUUCAAAACUCACAGACUAGAGUAUGGUAGAGGAUAGUGGAAUUCCUAGUGUAGAGGUGAAAUUCGUAGAUAUUAGGAGGAACACCAGUGGCGAAGGCGACUGUCUGGGCCAUUACUGACGCUGAGGCGCGAAAGCGUGGGGAGCAAACAGG
rnacentral:rRNA from 1 species